UGUAAGAUUAAAAUUCAGUGAUGUUAUUGCAAGCACAAGAAAGAAACGACAUGAGGAUGGACAGAACACCACAUUUGUAGAAUGACCCAGAGACAAAUGAACUGGUGCUCCAUAACUAUCCAGAGUGAUCCCAAAUUUUGGAGUUACACAAAAAAAAAUCUUCACAACAAGACUCACAGUGUGAGGCUUUCUUUUUCCCAUUCUGGCAGAAGGAAGUGUUUGAGAAGAGGGAAAUAUUUCAGGGACAGAG